rnacentral:rRNA from 1 species
CCUACGGGUGGCAGCAGUGGGGAAUAUUGGGCAAUGGGCGCAAGCCUGACCCAGCAACGCCGCGUGAAGGAAGAAGGCAUUCGGGUUGUAAAGCUCUGUUGGCAGGGAAGAAGCAAGUGACGGUACCGGACGAAUAAGCCACGGCUAACUACGUGCCAGCAGCCGCGGUAAUACGUAGGGGGCAAGCGUUAUCCGGAUUUACUGGGUGUAAAGGGCGGGUAGGCGGGGAUGCAAGUCAGAUGUGAAAACCCCGGGCUCAACCUGUGGCCUGCAUUUGAAACGGUUUUUCUUGAGUGCUGGGGAGGCAGUCGGAAUUCCGUGUGUAGCGGUGACAUGCGUAGAUAUUCGGAGGAACCCCAGUGGCGAAGGCGGCUUGCUGGACUGUAACUGACGCUGAGGCUCGAAAGCGUG